rnacentral:lncRNA from 1 species
UACUGCUCACUCUUUGGGUCCACGCUGUUUUAUGAGCUGUAACACUCACCGCGAAGGUCUGCAGCUUCACUCCUGAAGCCAGCGAGACCACGAACCCGCCAGAAGGAAAGAAACUCCGAACACACCCGAACAUCAGAAGGAACAAACUCCAGACGCGCCACCUUAAGAGCUGUAACACUCACCGCAAGGGUCCACGGCUUCAUUCUUGAAGUCAGUGAGACCAAGAACCCACCAAUUCUGGACACAAUAGUACAUGUCACACCAAUGCCAAUUCCAGACUAACAUCCUGAAGCUCCAGUUUUGAGGGGUGCAAGCUGCAAGACUGAUAUCAACAUCCACCAAAUACCACUGAUGAGUGGCAAGUAUUAAAAAAACACAGAAAAUCCCACAGCAUGUUGUGGGUUGAAUUAUGCUUCUUCCCUCCCCAGAAGAGGCACACAGUAACUUUCUUUGACUUGCUACAUCUUGGUGUAUAAAGACAUCUCAAGAGCUAAUUAUCCAAGGUAAGGUAAUGAAAAAUGGCACACGAUGCUACCAGCACAAAUAACUCAGUGAAGUGAUCAUUUCAAUAAUAGAUAUUUUUCACACAAGGCCAAGUCAACAAAUGAACAGGCAAUUAUAUUUACAAUUUAUUUUUUCCACGGUGCCUGGCAAGUAUAUUUUUGAAGACCCAUCCUGAUUUCAGAAACGUUAAAAUGUAAAGCACAGUCAUUUUAUAAUCAAUUUAAUAGAAUCCAGAGUUAACCUUAUCUGAUUAUUAGUCAAAAUUUGGGUGCCCAUGGAUUUUGUAUGGGUCCUCCUACACAUUACACAUAUUCUAGAAUUUAUGUUUUAUUUAAAAUGAAAUAUAUUUGAUACAAUAUUUAUACUAAUCUUUUAAUAUCUUUUAAUGUUGUCUUUCUCAUUUUAAUAAUAAGUAGGGCUUUCAGAACUAAGGCUGCACACCUAUGACCAUCUGAUCUUCAACAAAGCUGACAAAAACAAGCAACGGGGAAAGGACUUCCUAAUCAAUAAAUGGUGCUGGGAUAACUGGCUAGCCAUGUGCAGAAGAUUGAAGCUGAACCCCUUCCUUGCGCUAUAUAUGAAAAUCAGCUCAAGAUAGAUUAAAGAGUUAAAUGUGAAAUCCAAAACUAUAAAAACCCUGGAAGACAACCUAGGCAAUACCAUCCUGGACACAGGAACAGGCAAACAUUUCAUGACAAAUACACCAAAAGAAAUUGCAACAAAAGCAAAAAUUGACAAAUGGGAUCUAAUUCAACUUAAGAGCUUCUGCACAGCAAAAGAAACUAUCAGAGUAAAGAGUCAAUCUACAGAAUGGGAGAAAAUUUUUACAAACUACGCAUCAGAAAAAAGUCUAAUAUCCAGCAUCUAUAAGGAAUUAAACAAAUUUACAAGAGAAAAAUAAAUAUCCCCAUUACAAAGUGGGCAAAGUUCAUGAACAGACACUUCUCAAAAGAAGACAUACAUGUGGUCAACAAGCAUCUGAAAAAAUCCAAUAUCACUGAUCAUUAGAGAAAUGCAAAUCAAAACCACAAUGAGAUACCAUCUGACACCAGUCAGAAUGGCUAUUAUAAAAAGUUAAACAAACAAACAAAAAACAACCCAACAGAUGCUUGUGAGGUUGCAGAGAAAUGGGAACACUUAUACACUGUUGGUGGGAGUGUAAAUUAGUUCAGUCAUCGUGGAAAGCAGUAUGGCAAUUCCUCAAAGAACUAAAAACAGAACUACCAUUCAACCCAGCAAUCCCAUUACUGGGUACAUACCCAAAGGAGUAUAAAUCAUUCUACCAUAAAGACACAUACACAUGUAUGUUCACUGCAGCACUAUUCACAAUAGCAAAGACAUGCAAUCAACUUAAAUGCCCAUCAAUGACAGACUGGAUAAGGAAAAUGUGGCACAUAUACACCAUGGAAUAUGAUGCAGCCGUAAAAAAGAACAAGACCAUGUCUUUUAUGGGAACAUGAGUGGAGAUGGAGGCUAUUAGCCUUAGCAAACUAACAAAGGAACAGAAAACCAAAUACCACAUGUUCUCACUUAUAGGUGGAAGCUAAAUGAUGAGAACUCAUGAACACGAGGAAGGGAAAAACAGACACUGGGGUCUACUGGAGGGUGGAGGGUAGGAGAAGGGAGAGGAGCAGAAAGAUAACUAUUGGGUACUGGGCUUAAUAACUGGGUAAUGAAAUAAUCUGUACAACAAACCCCUGUGACAGAAGUUUACCUGUAUAACAAACCUUCACAUGUACUCUUGAACCUAAAAUAAAAGUUAAAAAUGAACACAAAAUUGUUCUUUCCAUCAAAAAGUAGGGCUUUUAGAAAUGCAUAAUAUAAUGAAGUUUUUAAUCAAAUAUGUCAAUAACAACAUCAAUAUGCAUAUCCUGUUGAAUUAUAAUGAAAGCACAUCCAAUUCAAUUAUGAAAACCUAUACAUUUUUAUUUUGCUUCUUUAAUAUAAAAAUAUCUAGGUCGGGCGUG